rnacentral:lncRNA from 1 species
GAUCUGCAGCCCCAGGCUCAGCCUUCUUGGGCAGCAGCUUGAAGAAGUUGACCUCUGCUAGAUUCACCAACCCUAAGACCUCCUCUGGAACCUUCAAGGUCUACGCAAAAGAGAUCGACGAGGAUAAGCAGACUCGACAAGGACCGGUGGAGAGGCCUCGCCUACGACAUCUCUGAUGACCAACAGGACAUCACCCGAGGGAAGGGUAUGGUGGACUCCCUCUUCCAAGCUCCCAGUGAUGCCGGCACUCACUAUGCCGUCAUGAGUUCUUAUGAUUACCUUAGUACCGGACU